GCCGAGGGAGUCUCCUGAGGGGGCGAAGCUGAAGAAGCCUGUUUGCAGGGCACACUCUGGACAAGAGAUGAAAGCGAUGGAGAGAUCACAGCCAUUGGUGCGGAAGCUGCGGGCCUGGAGGCUUCAGGGAGAAGACAAAAAUCAAUGGCAUUUCUGGAAAAGAAGAGUAUCCCAGAAGAAAGAGGGAUGGUGAGCGGUGUGAAAAUUGAAGUCACAAAUGAAGCUGAGCACCUGGGCUGCGAGGACCUGCCCCAACGCUGCUGCGCGCUGGUGCCCCCUGCACAGCAGUCUGGGGAAGAGCUGUUUUGCCGACGCCCGCGGCUCGCUCCACCAGAGGCCUUCGCCCCAGAGCUCCAUUUGCUUCCAGGACUCGAAGGGCAGCGGUGGUUACAGGGGGAGGAGGUCGAGGGGAUCCAGGAGGAGGUCUAGGGGUCAGAAGGCCAGGAGGUCGCGAAACUGGCAUCCGCGGGGCAGCUCCUGCCUUGACCUUAUCCCUCUUGUCCAUAUUGUACCUGAUGAGGAAGACAGAAGGGU